rnacentral:rRNA from 1 species
UACGGAGGGUGCAAGCGUUAUCCGGAUUCACUAGGUUUAAAGGGUGCGUAGGCGGAACAAUAAGUCAGUGGUGAAAUCUUGCGGCUCAACCGUAAAAUAGCCAUUGAUACUGUUGAUCUUGAGUUCGGUUGAGGUAGGCGGAAUGAGUAAUGUAGCGGUGAAAUGCUUAGAUAUUACUCAGAACACCGAUUGCGAAGGCAGCUUACUAAACCUGGACUGACGCUGAGUCACGAAAGCGUGGGGAGCGAACAGG